UAAUAUUACAUUUACGUCCGUAUAAAUGAAACUUCUCUAAUACUAAAUAGGAAAUAUACAUAGUAGAUAUCAUACCCCCAUACCCACAGUUUACACAGGUAGAGUAGAAUAGUUAGUGGACUGUUAUGUCGAUAGAUGUAUGUAGGUGUGUGUGUCUUUGCAUGAGUGUAUGCAUAUAUGG